rnacentral:tRNA from 1 species
GCCUUCAUGGUGUAGUAGUCAGCACAAUCGACACAUAUUCGAGAGGUCCGUGGUUCGAGUCCCGGCGAGGGCA